AUGGCUCAGGAUGAACGCUGGCGGCGUGCCUAACACAUGCAAGUCGAGCGAUUACUUAGGUAAAGAGCGGCGGACGGGUGAGUAACGCGUGGGUAACCUGCCUCAUACACAUGGAUAACAUACCGAAAGGUAUGCUAAUACAGGAUAAUAUAAGAGAUUCACAUGGAUUUUUUAUCAAAGCUCCGGCGGUAUGAGAUGGACCCGCGUCUGAUUAGCUAGUUGGUAAGGUAAUGGCUUACCAAGGCGACGAUCAGUAGCCGACCUGAGAGGGUGAUCGGCCACAUUGGAACUGAGACACGGUCCAAACUCCUACGGGAGGCAGCAGUGGGGAAUAUUGCACAAUGGGCGAAAGCCUGAUGCAAGCAACGCCGCGUGAGUGAUGAAGGCCUUCGGGUCGUAAAACUCUGUCCUCAAGGAAGAUAAUGACGGUACUUGAGGAGGAAGCCCCGGCUAACUACGUGCCAGCAGCAGC
rnacentral:rRNA from 1 species